CUCAAUUGUCGCCAAGAUCAUAAACAAACCGAAAAUUAUCGAAACAUUAACUUGUCUGUGAUGUGAUUGUGAAAUAAACGUGUCAAUCCACAACUUUUUUGUCAACAUGGUUAAAAUUUUGUACACCAACCAAAAAUGGCAAAAGAAGAGCAUGACCGGUUUAACUCCCGGUUUGGAAAUCGUCAACUUUGCAGAGGUGCCAUAGAUGGAUCCCAACCACGCUCUCCUCACCGGUUACUGGACCCCAGGGGAAAGGGUACUUGUUCCUUAUUAUUUGGGACUAGCAAUUAGAAUAAAGUGCGAAAUAGGUGUUAGAAAUGUAUUUUAAUUACUGAACUUGGUAAAUCUACCGCGCCACCCCCACAAAUUUGCUCCAAUACCUCUUGGGAGGGGGUGAUUAAAAAGAGAAAGUGAGAUUUUUUUUUGGAAAAUGAGAUUUUCGCUUGUAUAUAAGUAUGUGCUCAAAUCGUUCAGAAACAUUGAGGGGGUGUGGUCAAGGAGAAAGUGAGAUUUUUGAGGAAAAUGAGAUUUUCGCUUGUUGCGAAAUUGUAGUUGCAGCAUAAAUUAAUUAUUAGCUAGGAAAGAUGGGGAACUUAUUUCUGUAGAGCCUAAAAAUUUUUUUAAAAAGAUUUCACGCAAAUAUAUUCAUCCUGGGGGUAUGUGUUACGGGGUUGAUGGAAAGAGGGGAACAAUGAAGUGAAAAAUAAUUGCAUUUCAUCUACAGAAUUGGAUGAAACAAAUAAUAGUCUAAAUUUAUGAAGUUAAAUUAAAUUGAUUUAUGGAACAUUGCAAAAUUACAAGGUUUUUUGACAUGACUAAAAUUUACUUGAACUUUACAUAAACUGGAAGCCUUUGCACGGCACAAAAUACAGUGAUAGUGACAACAUCAGAGUCAGAGUUAGUAGAACACUUCAAGUUUAAAAAUCUCAAAUUCCCCAAAGUUAACAAAAACUUUACCUUGACACAUUGUUAUUAGAAGGUAAAAAAAUGUCUACAUUUCCAAAAACUGUACACAGAAAAUGGAAAAGAACUAACGUCAAAAUUAAAUUAGUUCCAAAUAUUUUUUUACAAUGUAAAAACCAAAUUAUAAAUCCCCCCUUUUUACGGACAUUUUCUGCGAUUUUCUGUGGUUUUUUUUAAGUUUAGGGACCUCUUUUGUGCGACUGCUGCGUAGUCAGAUUUUUCGAUACUUUUUGUGAUACAUAUUUUUUUCACACAUACUCUGCGAUACACCUUAUACUAAAAUUUAAUAAACAAAAUUAUAAAUUUA